UAGGGAAUCUUCGGCAAUGGGGGCAACCCUGACCGAGCAACGCCGCGUGAGUGAAGAAGGUUUUCGGAUCGUAAAGCUCUGUUGUAAGAGAAGAACGUGUGUGAGAGUGGAAAGUUCACACAGUGACGGUAACUUACCAGAAAGGGACGGCUAACUACGUGCCAGCAGCCGCGGUAAUACGUAGGUCCCGAGCGUUGUCCGGAUUUAUUGGGCGUAAAGCGAGCGCAGGCGGUUUAAUAAGUCUGAAGUUAAAGGCAGUGGCUUAACCAGUGUUCGCUGUAGAAACUGUUAGACUUGAGUGCAGAAGGGGAGCGUGGAAUUCCAUGUGUAGCGGUGAAAUGCGUAGAUAUAUGGAGGAACACCGGUGGCGAAGGCGGCUCUCUGGUCUGUAACUGACGCUGAGGCUCGAAAGCGUGGGGAGCAAACAGG
rnacentral:rRNA from 1 species